ACCUGCUGCAGUGUGCAAUGCUUUACAAGGAGCAGCAGGACAAGACAAUCACAAAAAUAUCCUGCAUUCAAACAGCUCUGAGCUGCAUGAUUAUGAGAGCUGAGCCUCAGCUCCCACUUUGCUGUCAUCGUCAGCAUUCAUAACCAGCGCUGAGAGGCGUUGGUGGUGAGAAUCCAGCCCUGGUGCAGCUCCAGGUGACUGCUGCCUUCUCCCAGAGCCUCAGCACACACUGCAUGAACAUCACCAUGCAGGGGCUGCCAUCACUCUGCUGGAUAACCAGAUUCGCUAAGGUAAAAACUGUCUGGCUUAUUGUUACACCUGAACAAAUUCCAAGUAAAAGGCAUUUGAGGGAGGCCACAGCAGUCACCAAGGAUGUGCAGAUGAGAUGAUGGCAUACAGCUGGGAACUUCAAGCUGAGUUAGCACUGAAAAUUUGGAUCCUGCCAGUCCCAGACAGCAAUUUAUCACAUUCCCUCCCUGCUCAUCCUCUCUAAUAUACCAUCGUGAUGGUGAAUGUCACUUGCUCAGGAAGGACAAGAGGACCCACCCUGCAACGUGGGUUUGGGGACAGAGGAAGGAGAAGGGAUCCUUGUCCCAGAUGCUGCAGAACAAACAAUGGUUUGGGAGGGGAGAAAGCCAUGGCUGGGCUUUGGGGGUGCUCUCUGGUGGCACGAGGCUGCCACGUGGAGAGGCCAAAGCCCUGGGGCAGCAGUGCCAUGAACGUGCUCCAUGGCAUUUGAAGUGUGGAAUGCUGUCAGCUGUGGUUUGUUACUCAUGCUGGGUUCCCUGCCCCUCCAAAUCUUCAAGGAGAGGCUUGGUAUUUGCUCUCUGACAAUUUAUUUACCAGAGGACUGUUCUUAAGUUAUUGUGGUUUAUGUUCGAAAUAUUGUUUAUGCAUAAAAUAGCGCUGAGGCUGGGUUGGGUCCUGAGCUGACCUCUGCCCAGCCUGCAGAUCCUGCAGCUUCUCAUUUAUGUGUCUCACAGUGUGAGGGAUGCUGCUGCCCCUCUCCCAUCCACACAAAGCUGCCUUCCCAGUACACAUACCUAAUUUGUAGCUAAUACUCUCAUUGUGGCUACUUCAAUAACAGUACAGAUUUUUUUUCCAAAUGAAAUACACAUGUGGCUCCCAAGCCAGCAUUUUCUGUUUCAAAUUAAGCGUAUUUUUUUCUCUCAAGAAUGCCACAUCAUACAUAAUUUUCUAUAAUUUUUUCUAUUAUUUCCUUCUUAGCCUUCAUCAAAACUGUGCUGGAGCAAUCGAAGAGCAGAUUGGGACCUACCUUGCAGAGAAGAAAAGGGGAUGAGGAAUCUGCUUACACCAUUAUAUUGACCUUCUGCUUUGCCAAGCUGGAAAUUCACAAAAUGCCUGUGACAUUCUUGCAAGACCACAAGCAAUGAGCACAAAAAGGACAAGGCUGAAUCUCAAAUGGGAACAAAGCUAUAACUCAAGCAGCUGGAGUUGAAAAAGGUCACUGGCUCAGCUCUAGAAAGACUUGCAUGGUUUGAUGUUUGUGGAAUAUCCUCAGGUUCCUUAGCAGGACUCACUGCUGGGACAAGAUCAUACCAAAGCAAGUUUAUGACGUUGAGGCAUCUCCUGGGUUUGACUGAAGCAGAAAUACCUUGUGGUUUCUCUACAUCUGCGUGAAAUUAGGGUGCAAUAAAAAUCUGGAGGAGAUCAAACUCUGGCUCAUUUGGCACAGGAAAACCAAGCAACCAUGCAGGACUGGAAACCUCUAGCUGGUUUUCAUUUGAUUGGGAAGUACUUCUGCAAGGCCUUAUGGAAAAGUUGGCUGGGUGUUUGUCCUGCUCCCUCCCAGAAAAUGAGUGCACAUGUUGGAUGUCUCAUGAAGAAAUGUGGAUGAGACUUCCCUGCAAGGAAGAGGCUGUGGAAGAACUCAAAUACCCCAACCUUCAGGUACUGCAGCCUUGAAUGACACAGGAUGAGAUGCUGAGCAACACAGAGGCAGGAGAUCAUGGGGAGAACCUCUUUGUUCAGAUUACACCUGCAUUGAGAUAAGUUUUAAUGAUUAUUUUUUAGAGUGUAGCUGCCAAUUAAGUUCAGGCUAAUGCUGGUGAGAAACUACAGUAGGCAAUUCAAGGAGGCUAUAUAUUUUGUUAAAUUCAUUAGCUGCCCAUUGAGGGUUGAAGAGAACAUAACUAACAAUAAUUACAUAUGAAUUAUGAAGUUCAAAUGGAAUGUGUUACUUUGCUCACACAAAACUUCAAGGGAGACAAGUCAGAGAGGUUUAUUAGCAUAUUCUUCUUUUCCAACAAACCUUACAAUAAAGGGAAAACAUAAUAAUGUAAAGGAGUUUAAGAUUCAUGUUUCCAUAGUAGCUAUAUCUGCACUGUUCUUCCUGUGAAAUUCAUUCUCUGUGGGUGGUGAUGCUGUUGAAUAGUUUUUAUUUCUCAGUCAUCUUUGUUUUUUCCUCUGUAAGCAGCUCUUUUGUGUAUAUCUAUUAACAUGCAAUCCUCUCCUGCCCAGAGCUUUCUUCAGCUGCAUUGCACCUGAGCCAGGGGUUUUGCAGGGAGCAAAGGGCAGCACGCAAAACUGAUCAUAAAUACACUCCCAAAAUUUCAUUUUUAUUUGAGCUCAUUCAUUCUAAUUGUUCUCUUGAGGCUCUAUUUGGAGCACAGAGAAACCCAAAGGGGGCUCACUGGGCUGUGGGUCAGGUUUUCAGGUCACCUGUACAUGGCAAGCGGUGAAUAAUGAGCAGCAGAGUGCCAGCCCCGUAGGCCUGACCCUGAGGAUGGAGCCAGAAUUCGGGCACAGAUCUCAUCAAGGGCAGUCUCAGGGAUGGAGGAGAGCACAGCACCUACCCCUUCUGCAGCCAAAGGCAGCCACAGAGCUCAGUGACCAGCAGGCUGCUGUGCCCCAGUAAUGCAGCUGACCGUGCCCUGAUUAACUGGGGCAAACAAACUCUGCCCUGAACAUUUUCUGUGUGGAAUUAGUUCUUUUGUUGAUGGCAAUGGUCCAGUAUAUUGUUAGAGUCACUGCUGGGACUUGAUAUGAUUACAGAUACAUUUCCAUGUUCAAUUAGGAGUGCUGUGAUGAUCAGUUUGUCCCUUCCACAGAUUAGGAUUAACACACAUAUUUUGCAAACCAAUCACAUACGUUAAAAACUGUUUAGGGUGGAUUUUUUUCCUUCUUUUUUAUUAUUGUUGUUGUGAGGUUUUGGUUUAUUUUGGGGGAAGGGUUUGGGGUUUUUUUGUGUUUGGUUAUUUGGGGGUGUUGAUGCUUUUUUUCCUAAACAGAAUCCUUUAAGCCAGUUUAAAAAGUUUAUUCUUGCAGACAGAAAAGUUCUUUCCUUUUGUCUAGAUUAAGCAUUUGCAUGGGAAAUGGAAUGUGGAGGUCCUGGCCCAACUUUCUGUGCAACCACAUGUGAAUCCGUUCAUGCUGUGGCCCCUUGUUGCUGUACCAAACUCCACCCUACUUUGCUUGAUUUAAAGCCUACGGGAAGUGGUUGUCAUCUUCUGUCUUUUUUAGGGACAUCAGCAUGAAUGAUGCAGGACUGGGGAUUCUGGACAUCACCACAGUAAUCAUGAUAAAGAAGGGGCUGAGGAGGAUCCUGGCUGCACAACAGAGAAAAACCUCCCAGGGCUCAGCUGAUGGGAGGAUGUGACAGCAACGGGCUCGCUCUGAAAGAAAUGCACCUUCCCAGGCAAACAGGGAUCAGUGCACCUGUCAAGAUCCCACUCUGGAACAGAAGAUCAGAGCAAAUGGGGGCUGAGGAGAACAAAAGCUGCCCCAAACCUUUGACCUAAAUUUAACAUAAAGCCAAAUGAAACCUUAGAGAUUUUCUGCUUCUGAGCUCCUCCAAAGUGUCAAGGCUGGACUGAGUGGUGUGUGCCAGCAGUGGAUGUCCCUGUGCCAGUGCCUGAGAGCAGUGAUGGCACCUUGUUCAGAACCCCCUGACCAAAAUGCCUCCAGAGUAUCUGCUGAGUGCCUUUGUCUUUGGAGGUUUGGAUGGUUCUGUCCAUGCACUAACCACUAUUCAACAUCUGAAAGAAAAUAAGGACUGUGACAAAAGGUGCUGGCUGAGCUCCAUGGACCAUCCAGUGUGGGGAUAGCAUUGGUGGAGUGAAUCAACUGGACUGAGAAAUCAGACAAAAGAAAUUAUCCUAUUUGCUUUUCUCAGCCCAAGUUAGAAGGGGAAAAUUCUGUGUAUUGGCCUAGUGACAAAUCUAUUUUGACUGUCAGAACUCAGAAAACUAUUUUUUUUCUCACAACUUCUCUUGGAUCCAGUGGUGUGGGUUUUGUAAAUGCUUCAUCUAUCUGUUUCUAGAAACAUACAGAGCAUGAAUUACUGGAAAUGAAGCAAAAUCUACCAGACAUAAACUCAGCCCAUCCUCUAUAGCUCAUAUUCUCUGAAGACUCAUUUGUCCUUUUCCUCUUUUCAGAUAUUUCCUCUCUUCUCUCUGGUCUGUUCUUGUUAUUUGUUUCAUCGGCCAUUUGUUAUACAACUCUUGGCAAAAUAUCAGGGAAAUCUUCCUGACUGCGAACGGGGAAGUGCUUUCUUAAGGGAACAACAGUUUCUUUACUUGGGAGAGCAGAAAACAAGUCAAGCCCAAGUAUUGUCUUUGCUGAGACAAAGUUCACAAGGACAGUGAUGUGCUUUGUUGGACUCAGAGGUGCAGCUGAUGAAGCUUGCCCUCUUAGGAUUUUCUUUGGUUUCUUAAAGGUUCAAGGUGUUAUUUCUCCAUGUGAAACUUGCCUCACUGCAGUGCCAGGGGUCAAUAGGCAGUGAUGGAGGGAUGGACUGAGCUUGUGUCUGGUGGGAACUGAGCUCUGUGUGUGUGGCUCCACGGGGGCGGUGGGUCUGCUCAUCCAGGGGUGGGGAUGCCUGUCUGGCUACAGGCACCCCAGCAGUCAUUAAAACAAGCAAACUGCAUGCUUUCAUCUCUCCUGGGUCCACAGCUUCCUCAGCUCAGACGAGAUGGCCUUAGACCCAGUCUGAGCCUCAAUAAACUUUUCACUUUUGCAGUUUCA